UUUUCAAUAAAAGCGUAACUUUUAGACCUAAAAAAAAAUGGAAAAUCAACUUGUCUAAAAUUUAAUUUCAAUAGUUAUUUUGAAUGAGACCUGUUUGUAAACAAAAAGUGCAAUCUUAAAUAUUCUUUAAAAUGAUAUUAUUUUCAUAAUUUGUGUACUGUUUCGAAGGGGACAAAAAAAAAUUCUUCUAAAAACACAUAACUUUUUGCAAUUUUAAAUGUUUCCUAUAGACAUUCCAGUUUGUUUACUUUAAAUACUAGAAAAAUCUCAUUUUUUUCUAAAUUGGAAAACCAUUUUCAUCGUUAAAGAUAAGACAGUACUUCACAUAUGAAGGUACAACAUUUACGUAGUGGACAUUUUGAUGCGUUACGUAGUGGACAAAACCGUUUCGUAGUGGACAAAAAGUUUCGUAGUUGACAUCAACCC
rnacentral:lncRNA from 1 species